rnacentral:rRNA from 1 species
AUUGAACGCUGGCGGCAUGCUUUACACAUGCAAGUCGAACGGCAGCGCGGGCUUCGGCCUGGCGGCGAGUGGCGAACGGGUGAGUAAUGCAUCGGAACGCGCCCAGUAGUGGGGGAUAGCCCGGCGAAAGCCGGAUUAAUACCGCAUACGACCUGAGGGUGAAAGCGGGGGACCGAAAGGCCUCGCGCUAUUGGAGCGGCCGAUGUCGGAUUAGCUAGUUGGUGGGGUAAAGGCUUACCAAGGCGACGAUCCGUAGCUGGUCUGAGAGGACGACCAGCCAACUGGGACUGGGAAACGGCCCCGACUCCUACGGGAGGCAGCCGGUGGGAAUUUUGGACAAUGGGGGCAAACCUUGUCCAGCCAUGGCGGGUGGGGGAAGAAGGCCUUCCGGUUGUAAAACGGUUUUGUUCGGGAAGAAAAUCUUUUGGCCUAUACCCCGGGGGGAUGACGGUACCGGAAGAAUAAGCACCGGCUAACUACGUG